GUGGGGAAUAUUGGACAAUGGGCGAAAGCCUGAUCCAGCCAUGCCGCGUGUGUGAAGAAGGUCUUCGGAUUGUAAAGCACUUUAAGUUGGGAGGAAGGGCAGUAAGUUAAUACCUUGCUGUUUUGACGUUACCAACAGAAUAAGCACCGGCUAACUUCGUGCCAGCAGCCGCGGUAAUACGAAGGGUGCAAGCGUUAAUCGGAAUUACUGGGCGUAAAGCGCGCGUAGGUGGUUCAGCAAGUUGGAGGUGAAAUCCCCGGGCUCAACCUGGGAACUGCCUCCAAAACUACUGAGCUAGAGUACGGUAGAGGGUAGUGGAAUUUCCUGUGUAGCGGUGAAAUGCGUAGAUAUAGGAAGGAACACCAGUGGCGAAGGCGACUACCUGGACUGAUACUGACACUGAGGUGCGAAAGCGUGGGGAGCAAACAGGAUUAGAUACCCGGGUAGUCC
rnacentral:rRNA from 1 species